rnacentral:rRNA from 1 species
CCCUUAGACGUUCUGGGCCGCACGCGCGCUACACUGACCAGUGCAACAAGCAUCCGUCCUUGGCCGACAGGCCCGGGCAAUCUUUGAACGCUGGUCGUGAUGGGGAUAGACUUUUGCAAUUUUUGGUCUUCAACGAGGAAUUCCUAGUAAACGCAAGUCAUCAGCUUGCAUUGAUUACGUCCCUGCCCUUUGUACACACCGCCCGUCGCACCUACCGAUCGAAGGUAAUGAUGAGCCCUCAGGAUUGUGGCCUCGUCGCGUCAGCGUCUUGGCUGCGAGAAUCUGUGCAAAUCCCUACCUUUAGAGGAAGGUGAAGUCGUAACA